CCUACGGGGGGCAGCAGUGGGGAAUAUUGGACAAUGGGCGAAAGCCUGAUCCAGCCAUGCCGCGUGUGUGAAGAAGGCCUUCGGGUUGUAAAGCACUUUCAGUGGGGAAGAAAGCCUUGGGGCUAAUACCCUCGAGGAAGGACAUCACCCACAGAAGAAGCACCGGCUAACUCCGUGCCAGCAGCCGCGGUAAUACGGAGGGUGCGAGCGUUAAUCGGAAUUACUGGGCGUAAAGCGCGCGUAGGCGGUCUGAUAAGCCGGUUGUGAAAGCCCCGGGCUCAACCUGGGAACGGCAUCCGGAACUGUCAGGCUAGAGUGCAGGAGAGGAAGGGAGAAUUCCCGGUGUAGCGGUGAAAUGCGUAGAGAUCGGGAGGAAUACCAGUGGCGAAGGCGGCCUUCUGGACUGACACUGACGCUGAGGUGCGAAAGCGUGGGUAGCAAACAGGAUUAGAUACCCCUGUAGUC
rnacentral:rRNA from 1 species